AGUACGGCCGCAAGGUUAAAACUCAAGUGAAUUGACGGGGGCCCGCACCAGCGGUGGAGCAUGUGGUCUAAUUCGAUGCAACGCGAAGAACCUUACCUACUCUUGACAUCCAGAGAACUUCCCAGAGAUGUAUGGGUGCCUUCGGGAACUCUGAGACAGGUGCUGCAUGGCUGUCGUCAGCUCGUGUUGUGAAAUGUUGGGUUAAGUCCCGCAACGAGCGCAACCCUUAUCCUUUGUUGCCAGCGGUUAGGCCGGGAACUCAAAGGAGACUGCCAGUGAUAAACUGGAGGAAGGUGGGGAUGACGUCAAGUCAUCAUGGCCCUUACGAGUAGGGCUACACACGUGCUACAAUGGCGCAUACAAAGAGAAGCGACCUCGCGAGAGCAAGCGGACCUCAUAAAGUGCGUCGUAGUCCGGAUUGGAGUCUGCAACUCGACUCCAUGAAGUCGGAAUCGCUAGUAAUCGUGGAUCAGAAUGCCACGGUGAAUACGUUCCCGGGCCUCGUACACACCGCCCGUCACACCAUGGGAGUGGG
rnacentral:rRNA from 1 species